CCUACGGGAGGCAGCAGUGAGGAAUAUUGGUCAAUGGACGAGAGUCUGAACCAGCCAAGUAGCGUGAAGGAUGACUGCCCUAUGGGUUGUAAACUUCUUUUAUAUGGGAAUAAAAUGUUCCACGUGUGGGAUUUUGUAUGUACCCUAUGAAUAAGGAUCGGCUAACUCCGUGCCAGCAGCCGCGGUAAUACGGAGGAUCCGAGCGUUAUCCGGAUUUAUUGGGUUUAAAGGGAGCGUAGGUGGAUUGUUAAGUCAGUUGUGAAAGUUUGCGGCUCAACCGUAAAAUUGCAGUUGAAACUGGCAGGCUUGAGUACAGUAGAGGUGGGCGGAAUUCGUGGUGUAGCGGUGAAAUGCUGAGAUAUCACGAAGAACUCCGAUUGCGAAGGCAGCUCACUGGACUGCAACUGACACUGAGGCUCGAAAGUGUGGGUAUCAAACAGGAUUAGAUACCCUAGUAGUC
rnacentral:rRNA from 1 species